UGUCACUGGGGUAUUUCUGAGGGUUUGGGGAACCUGUGCAGGCUGAGCCUCUUAAGCUGGCAUCUCCCCAGCAAAGCUUCCACCUGCAGAUGGAGGUCUCCAAGUGUUUUGGGCCUUUAUGGGCUGGGCCAGCCUCACUACGUUUCCCCUUCAGGAAGCAGAGCAGCCAGAGUGAAACCCCUUUGCCAUCCUUCCAACCAUGGAAUUACAGGAGAACUGAGCUCCUGCCUCCCUCAGCUCCUUCCUUGUGUUUGCCUGGUGAGUUAUGAGGCCUUUCUUCAUCUCUCAGCAGAAAUGUGAGUUCUCCAGGCAGCCAGUCCACAGAGGCAUAAAUAUUAAACAGCAACAGUACCAUCUAGUGACUCUGACUUAUGGAGCAUCUUCUAAGAAGGGGAUGAGGAGAUAUGUGGGCUGGGGAGCCCAGGAGUGGUCCUAGCCUUGCACGUGUCAUAUCUCUGGGUUCAUUUGGGUUUAGGAAACCAUCUGGGCAGCAAAGCAACAAUUCCUUGGGAGACGAUCUCCGCUUUGGCCUCUUGACUCCCCGCUGAACCCAGCCUGACCCACGCUCCCUCUGCUGCUGCCUGAGCCAAUCCCAUUCCCUGCACAGCAGUCCUGAGCAGGAGGUGGAGUUCCGCUCCAGUCCUGCUAUCUACCAAGUGUCAGUCAUGUUAAUUUUAAAUUACCUUUGUACAGCUUGGUGUCAAAACGAUUAAA
ensembl:lncRNA